rnacentral:lncRNA from 1 species
GCCCAGGUGGGACCCUUAUCUGCAGUUCCUGGAACACCCUGGCCCCAGGUGCCAGGAACCAGUAUCUGCCCCAUAAUCCCAUGGGGCUGCUUGGCAGGUGCUCAGAUCACCGGGAGGGAGACAGGUCCCCAUGCAGAGGGUGGCUCAGGAGCACCUCCCAUCCUCUCUUCUCAGCAGUACUAUACCCCGUGCCUCAGUUUCCUG